rnacentral:rRNA from 1 species
AUAAAAAAUAAAUAAAUCAAAACUUUCAACAACGGAUCUCUUGGUUCUGGCAUCGAUGAAGAACGCAGCAAAAUGCGAUAAGUAAUGUGAAUUGCAGAAUUCAGUGAAUCAUCGAAUCUUUGAACGCACAUUGCGCCCGCCAGUAUUCUGGCG